CCUACGGGAGACAACAGUGAGGAAUAUUGGUCAAUGGCCGGAAGGCUGAACCAGCCAAGCCGCGUGAAGGACGAAGGUGCCAAGCAUUGUAAACUUCUUUUGUCAAGGGACAAAAUCAGGCUCGAGAGCCUGACCGAGGGUACUUGAAGAAAAAGCAUCGGCUAACUCCGUCCCAGCAGCCGCGGUAAUCCGGGGGAUGCGAGCGUUAUCCGGAUUUAUGGGGGUUAAAGGGUGCGUAGGCGGACUGUUAAGUCAGCGGUAAAAGCCCGGGGCUCAACCCCGGCGAGCCGUUGAAACUGGCUGUCUUGAGAUGGCGAGAGGUAUGCGGAAUGCGCAGUGUAGCGGUGAAAUGCUUAGAGAUUGCGCAGAACUCCGAUUGCGAAGGCAGCAUACCGGCGGCGAUCUGACGCUGAGGCACGAAAGCGUGGGUAUCGAACAGGAUUAGAUACCCCAGUAGUC
rnacentral:rRNA from 1 species